rnacentral:rRNA from 1 species
AUUGAACGCUGGCGGCAGGCCUAACACAUGCAAGUCGAGCGGCGCGGGGGACGGGUGAGUAAUGCCUAGUAAUCUGCCUGUUAGUGAGGUAUAAAUUCCGGAAGCGGGAGCUAAUACCGCAUACUAUCAGAUGAGCCUAGGUCGGAUUAGCUAGAUGGUGGGGUAAAGGCUUACCAAGGCGACGAUCCGUACGUGGUCUGAGAGGAUGAUCCGUAACACUGGAACUGAGACACGGCCCAGACUCCUACGGGAGGCAGCAGUGGGGAAUAUUGGACAAUGGGCGAAAGUCUGAUCGAGCCAGGCCGCGUGUGUGAAGAAGGUCUUCGGAUUGUAAAGCACUUUAAGUUGAGAGGCGUUACCAACAGAAUAAGCACCGGCUAACUUCGUGCCAGCAGCCGCGGUAAUAC